AACGAACGCUGGCGGCAUGCCUAACACAUGCAAGUCGAACGAGACCUUCGGGACUAGUGGCGCACGGGUGCGUAACGCGUGGGAACCUGCCCUUAGGUUCGGAAUAACUCCCCGAAAGGGGUGCUAAUACCGGAUAAUGUCUUCGGACCAAAGAUUUAUCGCCUUUGGAUGGGCCCGAGUUGGAUUAGCUAGUUGGUAGGGUAAAAGCCUACCAAGGCGACGAUCGAUAGCUGGUCUGAGAGGAUGAUCAGUCACACUGGGACUGAGACACGGUCCAGACUCCUACGGGAAGCAGCAGUGGGGAAUAUUGGACAAUGGGCGGAAGCCUGAUGCAGCAAUGCCGCGUGAGUGAUGAAGGCCUUAGGGUUGUAAAGCUCUGUUACACGGGAUGAUAAUGACAGUACCGGGAGAAUAAGCUCCGGCUAACUCCGUG
rnacentral:rRNA from 1 species